UCAGGAUGAACGCUGGCGGCGUGCUUAACACAUGCAAGUCGAACGAAGCAACUUAUCACGAACCCUUCGGGGCGACGAUUGUUGACUGAGUGGCGGACGGGUGAGUAACGCGUGGGUAACCUACCUUGUACAGGGGGAUAACAGUUGGAAACGACUGCUAAUACCGCAUAAGCGCACAGCUUCGCAUGAAGCUGUGUGAAAAGUUUUUUCGGUAUAAGAUGGACCCGUGUCUGAUUAGCUAGUUGGUGAGGUAACGGCCCACCAAGGCGACGAUCAGUAGCCGACCUGAGAGGGUGACCGGCCACAUUGGGACUGAGACACGGCCCAAACUCCUACGGGAGGCAGCAGUGGGGAAUAUUGCACAAUGGGCGAAAGCCUGAUGCAAGCGACGCCGCGUGAGCGAAGAAGUAUUUCGGUAUGUAAAGCUCUAUCAGCAGGGAAGAUAAUGACGGUACCUGACUAAGAAGCACCGGCUAAAUACGUGCCAGCCGCGGC
rnacentral:rRNA from 1 species